AUAGAGUAUGAAACUGAGGCCCAGGGUGAUUUUAAUGACACAGGGUCACACAGUAGUAUGCAUUGGAGGUAGAAACCAUGUCCUUUACCACUAGAGUCCUUCCCCUAUAAUGAGCUGCUUUGUACUUAUGAGGUCAUGGUUGAUAUCAUACAGAGACUAGAUUGGGGUGGGGUUGGGACAAGAGCCUGGCAGAAGAGGGUUAGAGGCUGGGUUUAGGAAUGCAGCUUUGGGACUCCAUCUAGGCUUGAGGGGCAAAAAAGAGAAAUUCCUUUAACGAAGAAUGAGCUUGGAGAAAUUGUAUCUUUUCCCUUGAGCCCCAUUAUAUCUGUGACUGUAUUCCGUGGAGCCUUCUGAAGACAUCAAGCAUCUGAUGGACCUCCAAUCGCCAUUCAGCAAAAAGGGAUUAAUGGCAGAGCAAACAAGUCAGGGGACAGGAGAGCCCCCUAACGUCAAUAAAAGUAAUCUACAAGAUCACGUGGAAAAAAUAAUGCUGCAAUACCAUGAAGAGGUCCAAAUCAGAGAUCCUCUGGCAGCCAGGAGUACUUGGCCCAGGUUUGCACCAGGCUGUCCCAAGAAGGAAAUUGAGGAGCAACUGUGCCUCAAAAUCAAAGAGUUGGAGGAGAAAGUGAAAGCACAGGAUACCCAGCUGAUGAUGGCCAGAACACAAUGGCUCCAGGUGCUGGCUAUAUUCAAAAAGCUGCAAAAGGAGCUUCAGGAAGAUGCUCGGAUCAGAGCGGAGGAGAGGAAACGUGAACAGAGGUAUGAAAACCUGUUUCAUGAAAUCCAAGUCAUCAGUACCCAGACCUGGAAACCUCAAGUCUCUAGAUUAGAGGACCAAUCCAAAGGGAACAAUAUUGUUGAACCCAGUCUCAGGCUCCUCUGUCCACUCCCUGAGGGACUCUCUCCCAGAUCUAACCUGAUUCCCAGGAACCUAGGGCUGCACUCUGGAGAGCAUGCUUCCUCAGCUCCUGUUCCACCCACUGGCCUCAUAAGACUGUACUCCCAAGGGUUGGUCCCAUGGAAUGCAGGCCCACCUGUGACCGCCAUGAUCAAGAAGAAGACCAAGGCCCUUCAGGCCAUUGCCCCGACACGGAGUAGUGACACACUGUUGAGCAGUGGUGGAGGAGAAGCAAUGGUUUGGAUAUCGCAACAGAAGACACCAUUACUACUGGGCAAGACACCAGCUGAAGCAGGAAGCUCUGGCCUUGGGAUAAGACUUGGGCACCCAAAUCUUCCACCACCAGAAGCUGUUCAAGAAAUAACGCAUUAAAUAACUAAACAGACAAAUAAAGAUUCAACUACAUGAAAGGACA
rnacentral:lncRNA from 1 species